GAGGUUGUAACUCAGUGGUAGAGCGCUUGCCUCAUAUGCGUGAAGCCCUGAGUUUGAUCCUCAGCACCACA
rnacentral:tRNA from 1 species